UUUUGUGAGUAAAUGGGUAUAAGUGUUGUCUAAACACUCCUAAUCCAUCGCUAGCUCUUAUAAUUAGUCAAAUGCAUUGGAUUGUGACACAUUUUGACCAUAAAAACACUAACAAAUCUAUUGAGUUGUUCUAAGCAAGUUUUGUUGGUUUUAACCUCUUCUAGGAGGAAAUGGGUAUAAGUGUUGUCUAAACACUUCUUAUCCAUCUCUAACUCUUACAAUUAGUCAAUUGCAUUGGAUUGUGACACAUUUUGACCAUAGAAACACUAACAAAUCUAUUGACCGCUUCUAAGCAAGUUUUGUUGGUUUUAGCCUCUUUUGGGAGGAAAUGGGUUAUAAGUGUUAUCUAAACACUUCUUGUCCAUCCCUAACUCUUAUAAUUAAUCAAUUGCAAAUUUUUUUGGUUUUAGCCUCUUUUGGGAGACAAUGGGUAUAAUUGUUGUCUAAACACUCUUAAUCCAUCUCUAACUCUAUAAUUAGUCCAAUGCAUUGGAUUGUGAAACAUUUUGACCAUAGAAACACUAACAAAUCUAUUGACUGCUUCUAAGCAUAUGUUUGUUGGUUUAGCCGCUUUUAGGAUAAAAUAGGUAUAAGUGUUGUCUAAACACUUCUAAUCCAUCUCUAACUCUUAUAAUUAGUCAAAUGCAUUGGAUUGUGAUACCUUUUGACCAUAAAAACACUAACAAAGUUAUUUACUGCUUCUAAGCAAUAUUUUGUUGGUUAUAGCGUCUUUUGUGAGUAAAUGGGUAUAAGUGUUGUCUAAACACUCCUAAUCCAUCGCUAGCUCUUAUAAUUAGUCAAAUGAAUUGGAUUGUGACACAUUUUGACCAUAGAAACACUAACAAAUCUAUUGAGUUGUUCUAAGCAAGUUUUGUUGGUUUUAUCCUCUUUUGGGAGGAAAUGGGUAUAAGUGUUGUCUAAACACUUCUUAUCCAUCUCUAACUCUUAUAAUUAGUCAAAUGCAUUGGAUUGUGUCACAUUUUGACCAUAGAAACACUAACAAAUCUAUUGACUGCUUCUAAGCAAGUUUUGUUGGUUAAGACUCUUUUGGGAGAAAAUAGGUAUAAGUGUUGUCUAAACACUCCUAAUCCAUCUCUAAUUAGUCGAAUGCAUUGGAUUGUGAUACCUUUUGACCAUAAAAACACUAACAAAGUUAUUUACUACUUCUAAGCAAUAUUUUGUUGGUUAA
rnacentral:sRNA from 1 species